GAGAGCUUUCACAUAAGCUGAUGAAGAAGCAUCGGCUGUAGAAACACACUCUUCCAAGCACCAAGAUAGGUGAAUUAAAAUUUUGGCAAGAUGCCUUGUGUAGCAAUUAUUCUGAGCAAAGUGUAGGCAAGCUUGCUGAACACGAUCCGAAGACCAAUGAAGAUUUAGAGGAAGCUCUAGAAGCUUCUGCCAGUAAUCAGAAGCAAGAGGAAACGAUUUCUCGCCAAUAAAUGCUCCAAUUAGAUACUCCGCCGUUUCAUGAGGCCUCGAACUACCGUUAAACCUCGGCGUUGACGGUACUCCCCCCAUUCACACUACUCCGUCCGUCCGGCCGACACAGAAAACUAAACGGUGCAAAUAUAUGUAUACCGACUCUUCUGGAAUGUUGUAGUACCUUCAGAAGUGCGAAUUCACGAGAUCGUAGAGAGGUUUCACUGGCAUUUUGCGAUGAAAAAAUUGUUGGAGCUGUGGAUCUGAG
rnacentral:misc_RNA from 1 species